ncrna:unclassified sequences L2-Alphaproteobacteria ribosomal protein leader
GGCCACCUUCGGGGGGCUUUACCAUAGGCAAAGCUGUGCUUUGCCGCAUAAGCAAACGGAAGACACAAA